rnacentral:rRNA from 1 species
UACGUAGGGGGCGAGCGUUGUCCGGAGUUACUGGGCGUAAAGCGCACGUAGGCGGCUUUGUAAGUUAGAGGUGAAAGCCCGGGGCUCAACCCCGGAACUGCCUUUAAGACUGCAGAGCUCGAAUCCAGGAGAGGUGAGUGGAAUUCCGAGUGUAGAGGUGAAAUUCGUAGAUAUUCGGAAGAACACCAGUGGCGAAGGCGGCUCACUGGACUGGUAUUGACGCUGAGGUGCGAAAGCGUGGGGAGCAAACAGG